rnacentral:rRNA from 1 species
GUCCACGCCUAACGAUGCGAACUGGACGUUGGAGCAAUCAGGCUCUCAGUGUCGAAGCUAACGCGUUAAGUUCGCCGCCUGGGAGUACGGUCGCAAGACUGAACUCAAAGGAAUUGACGGGGCCCGCACAAGCGGUGGAGUAUGUGGUUUAAUUCGAUGCAACGCGAAGAACCUUACCUGGCCUUGACAUCCACGGAAUCCUUUAGAGAUAGAGGAGUGCCUUCGGGAACCGUGAGACAGGUGCUGCAUGGCUGUCGU